rnacentral:rRNA from 1 species
GACGAACGCUGGCGGCGUGCUUAACACAUGCCAGUCGAACGGAAAGGCCCUGCUUUUGUGGGGUGCUCGAGUGGCGAACGGGUGAGUAACACGUGAGUAACCUGCCCUUGACUUUGGGAUAACUUCAGGAAACUGGGGCUAAUACCGGAUAGGAGCUCCUGCUGCAUGGUGGGGGUUGGAAAGUUUCGGCGGUUGGGGAUGGACUCGCGGCUUAUCAGCUUGUUGGUGAGGUAGUGGCUUACCAAGGCUUUGACGGGUAGCCGGCCUGAGAGGGUGACCGGCCACAUUGGGACUGAGAUACGGCCCAGACUCCUACGGGAGGCAGCAGUGGGGAAUAUUGCACAAUGGGCGGAAGCCUGAUGCAGCAACGCCGCGUGCGGGAUGACGGCCUUCGGGUUGUAAACCGCUUUCGCCUGUGACGAAGCGUGAGUGACGGUAAUGGGUAAAGAAGCACCGGCUAACUACGUG